GCAGUCGAGCGGUAGAGAGAAGCUUGCUUCUCUUGAGAGCGGCGGACGGGUGAGUAAUGCCUAGGAAUCUGCCUAGUGGUGGGGGAUAACGUUCGGAAACGGGCGCUAAUACCGCAUACGUCCUACGGGAGAAAGCGGGGGAUCUUCGGACCUCGCGCCAUUAGAUGAGCCUAGGUCGGAUUAGCUAGUUGGUGAGGUAAUGGCUCACCAAGGCGACGAUCCGUAACUGGUCUGAGAGGAUGAUCAGUCACACUGGAACUGAGACACGGUCCAGACUCCUACGGGAGGCAGCAGUGGGGAAUAUUGGACAAUGGGCGAAAGCCUGAUCCAGCCAUGCCGCGUGUGUGAAGAAGGUCUUCGGAUUGUAAAGCACUUUAAGUUGGGAGGAAGGGCAGUAACCUAAUACGUUAUUGUUUUGACGUUACCGACAGAAUAAGCACCGGCUAACUUCGUGCCAGCAGCCGCGGUAAUACGAAGGGUGCAAGCGUUAAUCGGAAUUACUGGGCGUAAAGCGCGCGUAGGUGGUUCAGUAAGUUGGAAGUGAAAUCCCCGGGCUCAACCUGGGAACUGCUUUCAAAACUGCUGAGCUAGAGUACGGUAGAGGGUGGU
rnacentral:rRNA from 1 species